GAGGUUGUAGCUCAGAGGUAGAGCGCUUGCCUGGCAUGCAUGAGGCACUGGGUUCAAUCCUCAGCACCACA
rnacentral:tRNA from 1 species